rnacentral:rRNA from 1 species
CCUACGGGAUGCAGCAGUAGGGAAUCUUCCACAAUGGGCGAAAGCCUGAUGGCGCAACGCCGCGUGGGUGAAGAAGGUCUUCGGUUCGUAAAACCCUGUUGUUAGAGAAGAAAGUGCGUGCGAGUAACUGUUCACGUUUCGACGGUAUCUAACCAGAAAGCCACGGCUAACUAAGUGCCAGCAGCCGCGGUAAUACGUAGGUGGCAAGCGUUAUCCGGAUUUUUUGGGCGUAAAGGGAACGCAGGCGGUCUUUUAAGUCUUAUGUGAAAGCCUUCGGCUUAACCGGAGUAGUGCAUUGGAAACUGGGAGACUUGAGUGCAGAAGAGGAGAGUGGAACUCCAUGUGUAGCGGUGAAAUGCGUAGAUAUAUGGAGGAACACCAGUGGCGAAAGCGGCUCUCUGGUCUGUAACUGACGCUGAGGUUCGAAAGCGUGGGUAGCAAACAGGAUUAGAUACCCUAGUAGUC